rnacentral:rRNA from 2 species
UGUUUCGGCUAGGGGGCCAUCCCGGCUUACCAACCCGAUGCAAACUGCGAAUACCGGAGAAUGUUAUCACGGGAGACACACGGCGGGUGCUAACGUCCGUCGUGAAGAGGGAAACAACCCAGACCGCCAGCUAAGGUCCCAAAGUCAUGGUUAAGUGGGAAACGAUGUGGGAAGGCCCAGACAGCCAGGAUGUUGGCUUAGAAGCAGCCAUCAUUUAAAGAAAGCGUAAUAGCUCACUGGUCGAGUCGGCCUGCGCGGAAGAUGUAACGGGGCUAAACCAUGCACCGAAGCUGCGGCAGCGACGCUUAUG